AGUUUGUCACGAACCAUCCUAUAAAGUUUUGCAUAUGAAUUGUAUUCAUCAAACAUUUGUUUUAUGUCUUCAAGGAUUGAUGAGUUCAAUUCUGAAAUCUCUUUAUCCAUUCUAUAGGAAAAAAUAAAAUAAAAAACAAAUAAAAAUAUAUUUACAGUCAUAAAUUUUCAAAAAAUAGUAUAUUUAUUAUUAAAUAUUAUUUAGGUAUAAAUAAAUAAAAACAAAUGUACCCGACAACAAACAUUCGAUUUUCUAUUUCCCAUUUGAUGAUAA
rnacentral:lncRNA from 1 species